rnacentral:rRNA from 1 species
CAGUAGCCGCGGUAAUACGAAGGGGGCUAGCGUUGUUCGGAUUUACUGGGCGUAAAGGGCGCGUAGGCGGGCGAAUAAGUCAGGGGUGAAAUCCCAAGGCUCAACCUUGGAACUGCCUUUGAUACUGUUUGUCUUGAGUCCGGGAGAGGUGAGUGGAACUGCGAGUGUAGAGGUGAGAUUCGUAGAUAUUCGCAAGAACACCAGUGGCGAAGGCGGCUCACUGGCCCGGAACUGACGCUGAGGCGCGAAAGCGUGGGGAGCAAACAGGAUUAGAUACCCCCGUAGUCCCUGUCUCUUAUAC